CAGUGUCUGGUGGGUAGUUUGACUGGGGCGGUCUCCUCCUAAAGAGUAACGGAGGAGCACGAAGGUUGGCUAAUCCUGGUCGGACAUCAGGAGGUUAGUGCAAUGGCAUAAGCCAGCUUGACUGCGAGCGUGACGGCGCGAGCAGGUGCGAAAGCAGGUCAUAGUGAUCCGGUGGUUCUGAAUGGAAGGGCCAUCGCUCAACGGAUAAAAGGUACUCCGGGGAUAACAGGCUGAUACCGCCCAAGAGUUCAUAUCGACGGCGGUGUUUGGCACCUCGAUGUCGGCUCAUCACAUCCUGGGGCUGAAGUAGGUCCCAAGGGUAUGGCUGUUCGCCAUUUAAAGUGGUACGCGAGCUGGGUUUAGAACGUCGUGAGACAGUUCGGUCCCUAUCUGCCGUGGGCGCUGGAGAACUGAGGGGGGCUGCUCCUAGUACGAGAGGACCGGAGUGGACGCAUCACUGGUGUUCGGGUUGUCAUGCCAAUGGCACUGCCCGGUAGCUAAAUGCGGAAGAGAUAAGUGCUGAAAGCAUCUAAGCACGAAACUUGCCCCGAGAUGAGUUCUCCCUGACUCCUUGAGAGUCCUGAAGGAACGUUGAAGACGACGACGUUGAUAGGCCGGGUGUGUAAGCGCAGCGAUGCGU
rnacentral:rRNA from 1 species